rnacentral:rRNA from 1 species
AUUGAACGCUGGCGGCAUGCCUUACACAUGCAAGUCGAACGGUAACAGGUCUUCGGACGCUGACGAGUGGCGAACGGGUGAGUAAUACAUCGGAACGUGCCCAGUCGUGGGGGAUAACUACUCGAAAGAGUAGCUAAUACCGCAUACGAUCUGAGGAUGAAAGCGGGGGACCUUCGGGCCUCGCGCGAUUGGAGCGGCUGAUGGCAGAUUAGGUAGUUGGUGGGAUAAAAGCUUACCAAGCCGACGAUCUGUAGCUGGUCUGAGAGGACGACCAGCCACACUGGGACUGAGACACGGCCCAGACUCCUACGGGAGGCAGCAGUGGGGAAUUUUGGACAAUGGGCGAAAGCCUGAUCCAGCAAUGCCGCGUGCAGGAUGAAGGCCUUCGGGUUGUAAACUGCUUUUGUACGGAACGAAAAAGCUCCUUCUAAUACAGGGGGCCCAUGACGGUACCGUAAGAAUAAGCACCGGCUAACUACGUGCCAGCCGCCGCGGUAAUAC